rnacentral:rRNA from 1 species
AGCUGGCGGAGAUGUCUCUUGGAGGUUGUGCCCUUGAGGCGUGGCUUCCGGAGCUAACGCGUUAAGUAGACCGCCUGGGGAGUACGGCCGCAAGGUUAAAACUCAAAUGAAUUGACGGGGGCCCGCACAAGCGGUGGAGCAUGUGGUUUAAUUCGAUGCAACGCGAAGAACCUUACCUGGUCUUGACAUCCACAGAAGAAUCCAGAGAUGGAUUUGUGCCUUCGGGAACUGUGAGACAGGUGCUGCAUGGCUGUCGUCAGCUCGUGUUGUGAAAUGUUGGGUUAAGUCCCGCAACGAGCGCAACCCUUAUCCUUUGUUGCCAGCGGUUAGGCCGGGAACUCAAAGGAGACUGCCAGUGAUAAACUGGAGGAAGGUGGGGAUGACGUCAAGUCAUCAUGGCCCUUACGACCAGGGCUACACACGUGCUACAAUGGCGCAUACAAAGAGAAGCGACCUCGCGAGAGCAAGCGGACCUCAUAAAGUGCGUCGUAGUCCGGAUUGGAGUCUGCAACUCGACUCCAUGAAGUCGGAAUCGCUAGUAAUCGUGGAUCAGAAUGCCACGGUGAAUACGUUCCCGGGCCUUGUACACACCGCCCGUCACACCAUGGGAGUGGGUUGCAAAAGAAGUAGGUAGCUUAACCUUCGGGAGGGCGCUUACCACUUUGUGAUUCAUGACUGGGGUGAAGUCGUAAAAGGGGAA